UACGGAGGAUCCGAGCGUUAUCCGGAUUUAUUGGGUUUAAAGGGUGCGUAGGUGGAUUGGUAAGUCAGUGGUGAAAGUUUGCAGCUUAACUGUAAAAUUGCCGUUGAAACUGCCGGUCUUGAGUGCAAAUGAGGUAGGCGGAAUGCGUCGUGUAGCGGUGAAAUGCUUAGAUAUGACGCAGAACUCCGAUUGCGAAGGCAGCUUACUGGGAUGCAACUGACGCUGAGGCACGAAGGCGUGGGGAUCAAACAGGAUUAGAUA
rnacentral:rRNA from 1 species